CUAUUGUUGAAGAAGCCCUGACUUCCUAACACACCCUGACUUCACAAUCAAACCUAACUUCCCCUUUAAUGCCCCUCCGGCCUCAAAGCCCCCCGUAAAGCAGCCGGCGGAGACCCUGUGAGCAGAAGGAUCAGUUGAAGCAGCAGCGUCGUUAGCGACGAAAGCUCCACCGCCGUCCUCGUUUUUUACGACACUGAGCAGGAGAAGAUGAGGAGAUCUGGAGGAGGAGGGCAUGGCAGAGAUUAGAGAAAGAAGGCAAAUUAAUGGAAGGGAUUUGCGGAAGGAAGAGAGAAUGGGAAGGGAAGAGGGGAAAUGGGUUUGAAGGAGUGCGGGAGAAGAAGGCAGAGAGAGGCGAGCAUACAGAAACGGUGAUGAAAGGAGACAACUUUGUGAAUGGGUCUCAUUAUCUUCAUCAUGUCAUAACAAUCACAGUCCAAUUCAUUAACAAUUUCCUUUUCCUCUCCAGUGCACAGCACUACAACCAAUAGUGAAUUACUUUCUGUUUUUUACUGUAUUUUUCUUAUCUUUUUUAUAUAUAUUCUUGCCUUUGGAGAUUCCUUUUGAUGAUUUGUUGUACGCCAACACGUAUGGACCAUGUCUAUCUGAGUAUUGGGUAUUGGAUUGGAGUAUCUUCCCUAGCUACCUCUGUUAGUGUUAGGAUGUUGCCAUUUGUCUGUCUAAGUUCAACUCCGCUCCUCUUUCACCUCUUUGUCUAUCUGAGAAUCGACGGGACAGAUUUGAGCAGGAUCCCGAACCCCGGCGUAUCAAGACGGCGGAGAGCAUCAGCCGCUGCGAUAGCUUCACUGGAGAAUGGGUUCCCAACCCAGAGGCGGUGGAAGCCCGAUGGGUGCGAGCUGCCGAAAACUUGCCCCUGGUCUCUGGUGUUAUACGAAGAGGAGGAAGUAUUGAAGAGAGGAAAAGACUACUUUACCCUUGCUAAUUGGAGUGUUCGCCGGAAACUGGCCGGAUGGAGUUAUGUGACAAAAACAAUUAUUUUCUGGGACUAAAUCGAUGAAUACGGAGUUAAGGAGCAACAUUGACAGUUUGAUAACAACUGAGGGACCAAAUAGGUGAUUUACCUUUUUUUUUUUAAAUAUAAAAACUCAAUCUGUGGAGAGACGCAGGAGAAGAUCGGACGCCAUUGCAAUAACGUUUGUAUCAUCACUGCUUCUGUCGUCAUUGUGGAGAGACGCAGUAGAGAAAACUCAGACGCCAUCGUCAUUGCCAUCUCCACUGCUUCCUCACUCUCCACGCCAUCGCCAUCGCCACAAGAAGACAGACAAAACCACUCCAUUGCUUGUUCUUGAAGAAAGUGAAGGUCACUUGGUGGAUGAGGCUAAAUUUAUUAACCUGUCACUUACUUCUUUGGGAAAAUGUAUAAAUGCAGUGGCUAAAAAUAGUCUGCAUAUACCUAUAAGAGAUUCUAAGUUAACAAGACUGCUACGUGAUUCAUUUGGAGGGCAUGGUAUUUGUUGGUUGUGAUGUAAGGUGUACAUUUUUCAAGCAGAUUGAACUAUUGAAGGAAAUUGCGGGGUGCACAAAAAUAAAUUUGAAAUUAAAAUAUAAAUUACUUGAGAGUUUUUUUUUUUUUUUUUUGCCUAGACACAAUUGCCAGUAAUUAGGCACCAUAAAUGCAGGGUGGGGUGGGGGAAUUGCCCCCUCCAUUCACAUUAUACAUUUAUACCUCUUUAUUCUAGGUGUAUAUGUCUGCAACUUGUUUGUAGGAGUUAUCAGUCCUAUAGCAGUAAAGCAUGAGUCCAGUGAGGUCUAACUUACUCUAUUUCAUCAUUUCUGUGUAAUUUCUGAUUUGAGACUUGUGCUUCUGAUUGAGGUACAUUGUUUAUAUGCAGUAGGUACAUUAUUUUAAUUCAUAGGGUACAUUAUUUUUAUGUA